AACAUUGUCCCAUGAAAUAAAAUAUGGGAUAAUACCUGCCCAGUGACGGACUUGUUCAACGGCCGCGGUAUCUUAACCGUGCAAAGGUAGCAUAAUCACUUGCCUAUUAAUUGUAGGCUAGAAUGAAGGGGUUAACGAAAUAAAGACUGUCUCAAUUAAUCACCUAAAAAUUAUUUUCUAUAUGAAGAAAGAUAGAUAAACUCGAAGGACAAGAAGACCCUAUAGAGCUUAAUUUUAAUUAUAGACCUACCUAUAAUAAUAUUCGGUUGGGGCGACCCAGGGCUAAAUAAUCACCCAUUUUAUAAAAGAUAUAUUAAUCAAAUAAGUGACCCUUAAAGAUCACAAAACCAAGCUACCUUAGGGAUAACAGGCUAAUCCCACUUAAGAGUCCUUAUCAACAGUGGGGAUUGGCACCUCGAUGUUGGCUUAGGGUAUCUAUAUAACGCAAAAGUUAUAUAAAGAUGGUUUGUUCAACCAAUGACACCCUACGUGAUC
rnacentral:rRNA from 1 species